ensembl:lncRNA novel transcript
CAGGGACUUUUCCCUGGGGCACAAGUUUCCCAGGCUCAGGGAGAGGAAGCUCCUCUGCAAGAGGAGCUCCCUAGAGUCCCUCUUCCUUCCUCCCCUCUUCCUUCCUCCUCUGUCUCCUUCCAGCUCCUCUGACGGCAGCCCAACCUGAGGAUGCAGGAGGCAGGGCCCCAGGUGAAGAAGGUCCACCGAGGCUGGCCGUGGGCCUCAGAGCCAGCUCCUGCCCCAGCAUCCUGGAUCCACCUGGAAAGCUGGGGACCAGCCUCCCAGGCCCGGGCGCCAAUUCCAGCCUCCGAGAGGGCCGCACCAGUCCAUCCCGACCAAGGCUUCCCCAGAGCCCAGAGCAUCAACAGGUCAGCGCGUGCACCGCCACAUGGCCGUCCUGCAGGGCCGCAGAGCUCCCUGCUUCUGACUCCCCAUCAGGCUGGGGGACUUGGCUCUCCACCCCACCCCCCUACAAGCCCAAUAAAGGGUUAAAGGGGCCGACCAGGAGGUCCCUGGGCCUGCUGGAGUGGAGAUCCAGGCUAGCCUGCUCCAACCUUUUGAGGACCGGCCAGGGCUGCUCCGGUCAAGCCCUCCUGUC